GCUCAUAUCGGACAAUGGUAGUCCGUCGCCCUCCUAAGGCGAAGGUUCUAGGUUCGAGUCCUAGUAUGAGCG